rnacentral:rRNA from 1 species
GACGAACGCUGGCGGCGUGCUUAACACAUGCAAGUCGAACGGAGUGGCGAACGUGUGAGUAACAAGUGGGUGACCUGCCCUGCAAUUCGGGAUAAGACUGGGAAAAUGGGUAUGAUACCGGCUAGUGUGGGAUGGGAGCGGGGCAAAUGAGCUUGUUGGUGGGGUAAUGGCCGACCACGGCGGCGACUGGUACCCUGCCUGGGAGGGUGGACGGACACAUGGGGACUGAGACACGGCCCAGACUCGUACGGGGGGCAGUAGUGGGGAAUAUUGCACAAUGGGGCGGAGCCUGAUGCAGCGGCGCUGGGGGGGGGAUGUCGGCCUUGGGGGUGUAAACUCCUUUAACCAUCGACGCGGUAGAUGGAGAAGAAGCACCGGCUAACUACGUGCCAGCAGCCGCGGUAAUUC